rnacentral:rRNA from 1 species
CAGUCGCCACGGUAAUACGAAGGGUGCAAGCGUUACUCGGAAUUACUGGGCGUAAAGCGUGCGUAGGUGGUGGUUUAAGUCCGUUGUGAAAGCCCUGGGCUCAACCUGGGAAUUGCAGUGGAUACUGGGUCACUAGAGUGUGGUAGAGGAUAGUGGAAUUUCCGGUGUAGCAGUGAAAUGCGUAGAGAUCGGAAGGAACAUCUGUGGCGAAGGCGACUAUCUGGGCCAACACUGACACUGAGGCACGAAAGCGUGGGGAACAAACAGGAUUAGAUACCCCCGUAGUCCCUGUUUCUUAUAC